GUGAGAAGCGUUGUCUGUCAUUCUCUGGGUGGGUGGUGAGGAAAGUGAGCUGCAGAGGAAGAUUUGUGGCUAACCAAGACUGCACGCCCAGCAAGUAACAGAAGCGGGAUUAAAUUCAGAAGCAGCGCCUUUUGGUGGGGCGGGGUGGGGAGCCGGCUCCCCCUGUGGUGUCUGGUGUCCGGUGCCGGAGCCUGUGCCCUUUCCAGCUGAGAGGACAAAGCUGGCAGUCUCUCCCAGGCCGGGAGGCGAAGCUUCAACCACUGAGAAAGCAGACACCAAAGGAAUGGUUGGACAGUCUGUAUGGAUAUUCCCCUCACCCUGGUGUGGUGGUGGAAAGCACGGAGCAGAAGGUUUUGCAAGUUUAACAGUUCAAUAGUUGGAAUGCCAAAAGGUGAUGUCAUCGUUUACCGAAACCCGGAGGCAAAAUCCUUCUCACACUUGUUCAGUCAACACAAAUCUGGAAGGGUUCCAAGUGAGCAUGUUUGGAGGCACAUUUUCCCCCAGAGGAAGCUACUGAAAUAGCUUUAGAGGUGCUUGGUACUUGGCGCAGUGGAAGAUAUAUUGGUUUCACAAUCAAAGGACCCAGAUUCAAAUCUUGGCUCAGCCUCUCACUAGCUGUGUGACCCUAGGCAAAUCACUUACCUCUCUGGGCCUCAGUUUUCUCAUCUGUGAGAGUAAAUGUCAGGGUAUUAAGGGAAAUGUCUAUUUGGUUGUUUUUGCUAUAUAGUUAAACCUUCCAAAUUGUGGGGGUGAGGUUUAAGGGUGUGGCACCCCCACGAUCUGGAAAAUCUACACAAAAAUUUUUGGCCCUCCGUUCAUACCACAGACGAAGUCUGAACUUUUUUUUCUUUUAUGGGGUGUAUACAGUAUCUUAUUGUAAAUUUUGGGUUAAGUAUUUGGUUAUAGGCUCUCCCCAAACUCCCCCAAAAUUCCCAUUUAAUUUCUUUUGCCCACCUUCAAUGUAUCGAAACCAUGAUGAGAAAGUCACAACGGGGAAGGUAUAACUGUAUUUUUGAAUUAAAUAUUUCUUUGUAAAAGU